UGCACAGGCUUGGCUCAUCCCGC
rnacentral:snRNA from 1 species